UCGCUCUGUAGACCAGGCUGGCCUCCAACUCACAGAGAUCCACCUGGCUCUGCCUCCAGGAAGGCUUCUUAUUAAGGCCUCUGCGGAUAUUUGUAGUGAUCGCUGAAGAAUUCAACCAUCAAACACCCCCAGCUCUGAGGCUGAGCCUGUCUAUCUUGGGGGAGCCAUCCUGGGAGUCUGGAGAGAGGCCCUAGACAGGUAGCAUCUGUUAGCUCAGUUCCCUGAAGGGUCCCCAGAACCUGAGACACGGCGGCUCUCCUCCAGGAGCCUCGGUGCACUGACACACACGGCCCACUAGAGAGCGGUGUGCCCCCACAUGAUGAGGAGCGGCAUCCAGCCACCUGCAGACCCAAGACUGGCACAGGAGGAUGUCAGGAAGGAGCUGGGAGAUCAGCCUCAAAGCUUCCAUUGAAUUUGGAUCCUGCUUCUCCCCGCCCCCCUCUCUGCCGCCCAGAAAAACCUCUGUUUGCUGCACAGUGUAAGAAAAGGUUCUAUCCACAAAGAUACCUCCACCAUAGACUACUGGCAAUGGUCGAGAGAAAGCCCGAGCUGACCU